rnacentral:ncRNA from 2 species
UCUUCCGAGGAGCGCUGCGAGGCGCCGGGCAAUUCAGCCCAGGCCCCCAGGCUCGGAAACCCGCGGGCAAGCCGCCGCGGUUCGAACGGCGCUCGCCCGAA